rnacentral:rRNA from 1 species
CCUACGGGUGGCAGCAGUAGGGAAUAUUCGGCAAUGGGGGGAACCCUGACCGAGCAACGCCGCGUGAACGAAGAAGUUAUUCGUAAUGUAAAGUUCUUUUAACAGGGAAGAAAGAGAAAUCUGACGGUACCUGAAGAAUAAGCUCCGGCUAACUACGUGCCAGCAGCCGCGGUAAUACGUAGGGAGCGAGCGUUAUCCGGAAUUAUUGGGCGUAAAGGGUGCGUAGGUGGCAUAGUAAGUCUGUUGUAAAAAUGCGGGGCUCAACCCAGGAGGGCCAAAGAUACUGGAAAGCUAGAGUAUGACAGAGGCAAGUGGAACUACAUGUGUAGCGGUAGAAUGCGUAAAUAUAUGUAAGAACACCAGUGGCGAAGGCGGCUUGCUGGGUCGAUACUGACAUUGGGGGACGAAAGCGUGGGGAGCAAACAGGAUUAGAUACCCUUGUAGUC